rnacentral:lncRNA from 1 species
CCUGGGUGGAAAACUAGUGUAUUGGCAGAAAAAAAAAAAGAAACAUACAAGAAACUGAACUGAGAGAGAGUUCAGAAUAAGUGUGCUUUAUUAUAAUCCUGAGUAGGCUAUCAUAAGUAACCUUAUAACAGGCAGGAACAAGGGCCCUGAGGCAGCUGAUGGAGGGGCACUGAGGUAAGGGCAGAGAACUGGGACUGAGAGGUCCUUGCAGAAAACUUGCGAUCUGAAACUGGUUGCUGGCAACUUUUGCAGGAACAAUAUGAGUAGUUGGAGGUUGAAAAGGGAAGAGGGAAGAUACCAAUCAGCCAUAUAACCACUCAAGUCAGCCGAAAGCUAUGUACUUCAGUUAUCUUCCAUGCUAGAAGGAAUUUUCUGAAAUAGCCUUUACCCUAAGAGAGACAGUGGACUCUUCUUCUCUAAACAGUCUGUAAAAUAAGAUUCUAUUUUAAGCCAGUCCAUUCAUAUAAAAUUGACAGCAGCAGGAAGCUUCGACAAUAAUUUGUAGUAAGUUUCACAUGAAACUUUAAAAGAUAUGGCCCAAUAUCUUACAUAGACUGUCCCCAUUAAAUUGGAGUAUGUUGGGGAAGCAACUUGGGGUUAGUUGUCAAAAUGAGUUUUAAGAAAAAGUACGACAGUUCUUACUUUUCUUCUAAGUGACCCAGAUGGACUAGUUUCUUCAUUGUGAUCCAAAGACAGGUUUUGAGGAAUCUGGGCCUUAUGCAAUUCCAGAACAUUGGGUGAG